rnacentral:rRNA from 1 species
CCUACGGGAGGCUGCAGUGGGGAAUAUUGGACAAUGGGCGAAAGCCUGAUCCAGCCAUGCCGCGUGUGUGAAGAAGGCCUUCGGGUUGUAAAGCACUUUCAGUGGGGAAGAAAGCCUUGGGGCUAAUACCCUCGAGGAAGGACAUCACCCACAGAAGAAGUACCGGCUAACUCCGUGCCAGCAGCCGCGGUAAUACGGAGGGUGCGAGCGUUAAUCGGAAUUACUGGGCGUAUAGCGCGCGUAGGCGGUCUGAUAAGCCGGUUGUGAAAGCCCCGGGCUCAACCUGGGAACGGCAUCCGGAACUGUCAGGCUAGAGUGCAGGAGAGGAAGGUAGAAUUCCCGGUGUAGCGGUGAAAUGCGUAGAGAUCGGGAGGAAUACCAGUGGCGAAGGCGGCCUUCUGGACUGACACUGACGCUGAGGUGCGAAAGCGUGGGUAGCAAACAGGAUUAGAUACCCAGUAGUC